UACGUAGGGUGCAAGCGUUAUCCGGAAUUAUUGGGCGUAAAGAGCUCGUAGGCGGUUUGUCGCGUCUGCUGUGAAAACCCGAGGCUCAACCUCGGGCCUGCAGUGGGUACGGGCAGACUAGAGUGCGGUAGGGGAGAUUGGAAUUCCUGGUGUAGCGGUGGAAUGCGCAGAUAUCAGGAGGAACACCGAUGGCGAAGGCAGAUCUCUGGGCCGUAACUGACGCUGAGGAGCGAAAGCAUGGGGAGCAAACAGG
rnacentral:rRNA from 1 species